ensembl:lncRNA
GCUGAAUAAACUUGUGUCAGGCUGGUGGCUGCAGUCCUGAACUUAUUUGUGUAGUUCCCCUCUCUGGCACAGGAAGAGGCUGAGGACGUGUUAUUUCAAUAUUCUGUCCAUGAUGUCACCCGUGUGUGUGUGAGUCAUAUCCCGUCUGCACGCGCCCCCGAGUAGCAGUCAGAGAGUUAAUCUGUCGUCCCACAUUGAUUUUUCAGUUACCUAAUCUAGAAACACACCUGUAUCAAAUGGCAAUAGGAUGCAAUCUGCGCUGUUCAAGCCCAAUUAGGCCAGUGUUGGCCUGAGCUGGUAUUUGGCUUGGCUAAUCUGGUCACACAAACCGGCAAUCAGGCCUCCAGGGAAAACCGAUGACAAAUAGGUGUAAUGACAUGGGCAAAUAUGCAUGGCUAUAAACAUUUGUGUCAAUGACAGAUGGAGUCUUGCUUAAAUAAAGCCAUGUGUCAGGGGUUCCUCCAUCACUCUGGGCUGACAACUCUUGUAACUGCACCUGUCUGUACCUGUCCACAGUUUGACACCAUGGCCAUGAUUGUCAGCUUAUUGCACAUUGUCCUGGUGACAGCAGUUGUCCUCCAGGUGGCAGUCUCGCACCCACAUCUGAACCGAAUGGAAGAAGAGGUGGAUAUUGAUAGAAGAAUCAGCCAGCCAGAUAACAGUCUGCUGAUGGAGGACGCAAUAAACACCCUCUCUGAGAGGAGGCAAGGGCUUCCCCAGAGCUCACCUUUCCACGGCAGCCAGCAGAGUGACAUCGAGUUCUCCAACCGCUACGUCAGGCAGCUGGGCGACAUCGAGUUCUCCAACCGCUACGCAGAGUACCUGAGGUCAAAGGCCAAGAUCACCUCCAUCUGCGGCUUCCUGCGCCGCAUGCAGAACUCCAAGAAAAGUGGUUUGGGUGGAGACACAGAGAGAGUGAACGCCCUGCUGAAGCAGUACAUGUGCCCUGCUGUGUACCAGUGACCAGUGGCCAGAAACCAGAGGCCUGCUGGGAUACUGGAGGAACAGCUAGAGGGAGGAGCUCAGCUCAGGACGCCUCAGAUCACACUGCCAUCCCACACCAAGACAGAUACCCUUAAAGGGCAGCCAGGCCCUCAGCAGGAAGUUGUGUCGUGCCUUCACUCAACAUGUUUCAUAUCUGUCCCAUUUUCCUGUUCGACUGUCUAUACCCUGUGUUAAAAGCCCCUGUUUUUUACUUGAAUAAAGUUGAUCUCAU